AAAGACACACAUACACAGAGACAGAGAGUACUGGGAAUGGCACAAGUCUUUUGAAACCACAAAGCCUGCCCCCAGUGACACACUUCCAUCAAUGAGAUCAUACUUCCUUCUACCAACUGGGGGCCAAGUAUUCAAACAUAUGGCUCCUGUGGAGGCCAUUCUCAUUCAAACUACCACAGAAAGUCUGUUGACACUAAGGCGUAGGUCAGUCUUCCACCCAGGACUGGUAGUGCCACCUCGAGCCGUAUGUCACACUCUUCAGUUCCAUCAGCCCGUUUGUCUAGUGCGUGAUGUCCUUAGCUCUUUAAAUUUUCUUUUGGUGCAGUUCCUGGGCUAGCAGCGUCAGCUUUAUGGUGGAGCAACCUCAGCACAGCAGGGUUUUAGUUAAACAUUUCCUCACCUAAAUGGACUUUAGUUUCAGAGCAAAUAAAAAAAAAAAAA
rnacentral:lncRNA from 1 species